AUUGAACGCUGGCGGCACGCCUAACACAUGCAAGUCGAGCGGCAGCGAGACUAGUAGCAAUACUAGUUGUCGGCGAGCGGCGGACGGGUGAGUAACACGUAGGAAUCUGCCCUUAAGCGGGGGAUAACCAAGGGAAACUUUGGCUAAUACCGCAUAAUCUCGAGAGAGCAAAGCUGCCCGCAAGGGUGGCACUUGAGGAGGAGCCUGCGUCCGAUUGGCUAGUUGGUGGGGGAAUGGCCUACCAAGGAGAUGAUCGGUAACUGGUCUGAGAGGACGACCAGUCACACUGGGACUGAGACACGGCCCAGACUCCUACGGGAGGCAGCAGUGGGGAAUAUUGGACAAUGGGGGCAACCCUGAUCCAGCGAUGCCGCGUGAGUGAAGAAGGCCUUCGGGUCGUAAAGCUCUUUAGGUUGGGAAGAAGGGUAUUGGCUGAAUAAUCCAGUACUUUGACGGUACCGACAGAAUAAGCACCGGCAAACUCUGUGCCAGCCGCCGCAGUAAGAC
rnacentral:rRNA from 1 species